AUGUGUGCAUGUGUAUGUGUGUACAGUAUGUCUGUGUCUGAGUGCGUGUGUGUGUGUACACAAGUGUGUGUGAGUUUGUGUGUGUAUGUGUGUGUCUGAGUGCACGUGUGUUGGUGUGUGUGAACUUAUGUAUGUGUGAGUGUGUGCAUUUGUGUAUGCAUGUGUAUGUGUGUGUACAGUAUGUCUGUCUGAGGGUGUGUGUGUGACUGACUAACUCCUGUAGGGCUGCUAUGUUUGCUGGUUUUUGUUUCAACAAUCUACCCCACAUAGAUUAGUCAAUUACAGUCAUGGUUCCAGUAAGGUACUUCACUACUUCAGACAAAACUUCAGCCAGUUACAAGCUGCACAAAAACUAGUACUAAAACACACAUUUAAUGUUUGUAACUCAUUUGUCUGCUGUCCUGUGUAACUUUGUGUUUUAUGUCAGGUCCCCCUUGCAAAACAUGAUUUCCAUCUCAAUGGGAUUUUUCUGUUUAAAUGCAGGUUAAAUAAACAGAAAAUAAAUAAACAGGAGACUUGCAAGAGGCUUACAGGAGGUAUACUGGAAAAGUACGAGGACUCAUCACUUUCUACUUGUUCAUGAUCUGUUUUCUCAUUGUGUUUUUGGGGCUGUGCUAAUUUCAGUGUGGAUAAAGUUCAAGGAAGGAAUCAAAGUUUCAUUUUCACGCAGGUGACACUCGAUGGCACUUAUCUCUGCUAUAUAAGAUUCUGCACACUUCCAGCAUCAAACACAAGCACAACCCACAGCAGCAGCAGCAGCAGCAAGCAGGAGCAGCAGCAGCAGCAGCAGCAGGAGCAGCAGCAGCAGCAGCAGCAAGCAGGAGCAGCAGCAGCAGCAGCAAGCAGGAGCAGCAGCAGCAAGCAGGAGCAGCAGCAGCAGCAAACAGGAGCAGCAGCAGCAGCAGCAGCAGCAGCAGCAGCAGCAAACAGGAGCAGCAGUCAUGCAUCCAUUCGUCUCUAAGAAAAAACUUCACAAUCUUAUGAAAACACCAGGAGGGGCUAUGGCCAUGAUUGUAUUAUUCAUCAUGUUCCAGUACAUUUUCAAUAUGGAAUUUGUAUGUCCCUGUGACUUUUUCUAUAACAUACUUUUCUGUGUACUUUAUAUGGUUCUACCGUUCUUCACAGUGACUCUGAUUAUGAUGCUGAUAGACCCUCGUUGUACGCGCGAAUCCAAACCAAGUGACUGCAAGUUACCAAUAGUCAGGAGUCUACUCGCAGGCUUGGUGUGGAUAAUUACUGCAUUGAUUGAUGGAGAUGUAAUAGUGUGUUUAAAUGUGACUAACAUGACGGCUGGGCAGCAGGAUGCAUGCGUAGUUGUGACCAAGCAGAGCCCUGAACAGCAAAGGAAGAUCAACCACUAUGUGAACGUAUCUCGGAUAUCAGUCCUCGGUAUCAUAUUCUUUAUAUCAAUCCCAUGUGCUUUGUAUAAUUACUGCAAUAAGGAAACGAAGUCAAACGAAAAUACCACUCAGAAUGAUGAAGACAUUGAACUGGCAGAGGAUGUAACAUGUGCGCCGAAGAUUCAGCCUCAUGGAAGGGAUGACUCACAAAAGGACCACGGAAGAACGCAGAACCCAAACCCAGAACAGGAUCCACUGGUACCACCAAAUUCUUCACAGACACAAACUGCCACAAAUAAUGCUUAAAUUGUAGCUGAAGUUCUAAGCACAGAUAAAUAAAUAUAUUCAUCUGGGGCCCAGGGAACUCAGAAGACCUCAGGUUAAAUUACAGAAAGUAAAAUUUUAAUGCUGGAGCAUUGAUAGGCUGGAGCAGGUGCAUUGAUAGGCUGGAGCAGUGAUAGGCUGGAGCAUUGAUAGGCUGGAGCUGGAGCAUUGAUAGGCUGGAGCUGGAGCAUUGAUAGGCUGGAGCUGGAGCAUUGAUAGGCUGGAGCUGGAGCAUUGAUAGGCUGGAGCUGGAGCAGUGAUAGGCUGCUGUAUGUAAUGUAACAGUGUAACAAAACUGCAAUGAUUGAUGACAUAACAGCAAGCAAAUAUAUUUGCUGUGAAGUAAGGUUUGGUAAGGUUUGGUUUACUAAACAACAAGGUUGUAAUUGCAGUGCUUUUUCUUAUUAUUGUUUAAAACUGCACCUUUUAAUCACUGUGUAUAUGAACCAGAAAAUAAAGUAGAAGGUAAGCAUAAUAUCCAUGUGCAAUUUCUCUCUGAAGUGCUUUUGCUGUCGCCUUAGUCUACCAAAAUGUAUACAAUUUGCUUAUUUACUUCAUCAGUGAAUUUGUCUCUUGAUUUUGCUAAAUAAAAUAAACACUUUCAUUCAUACA